rnacentral:rRNA from 1 species
AGAGUUUGAUCCUGGCUCAGGAUGAACGCUAGCUACAGGCUUAACACAUGCAAGUCGAGGGGCAGCAUGGUCUUAGCUUGCUAAGGCCGAUGGCGACCGGCGCACGGGUGAGUAACACGUAUCCAACCUGCCGUCUACUCUUGGACAGCCUUCUGAAAGGAAGAUUAAUACAAGAUGGCAUCAUGAGUCCGCAUGUUCACAUGAUUAAAGGUAUUCCGGUAGACGAUGGGGAUGCGUUCCAUUAGAUAGUAGGCGGGGUAACGGCCCACCUAGUCUUCGAUGGAUAGGGGUUCUGAGAGGAAGGUCCCCCACAUUGGAACUGAGACACGGUCCAAACUCCUACGGGAGGCAGCAGUGAGGAAUAUUGGUCAAUGGGCGAGAGCCUGAACCAGCCAAGUAGCGUGAAGGAUGACUGCCCUAUGGGUUGUAAACUUCUUUUAUAAAGGAAUAAAGUCGGGUAUGGAUACCCGUUUGCAUGUACUUUAUGAAUAAGGAUCGGCUAACUCCGUGCCAGCAGCCGCGGUAAUACGGAGGAUCCGAGCGUUAUCCGGAUUUAUUGGGUUUAAAGGGAGCGUAGAUGGAUGUUUAAGUCAGUUGUGAAAGUUUGCGGCUCAACCGUAAAAUUGCAGUUGAUACUGGAUAUCUUGAGUGCAGUUGAGGCAGGCGGAAUUCGUGGUGUAGCGGUGAAAUGCUUAGAUAUCACGAAGAACUCCGAUUGCGAAGGCAGCCUGCUAAGCUGCAACUGACAUUGAGGCUCGAAAGUGUGGGUAUCAAACAGGAUUAGAUACCCUGGUAGUCCACACGGUAAACGAUGAAUACUCGCUGUUUGCGAUAUACUGCAAGCGGCCAAGCGAAAGCGUUAAGUAUUCCACCUGGGGAGUACGCCGGCAACGGUGAAACUCAAAGGAAUUGACGGGGGCCCGCACAAGCGGAGGAACAUGUGGUUUAAUUCGAUGAUACGCGAGGAACCUUACCCGGGCUUAAAUUGCAGAUGAAUUACGGUGAAAGCCGUAAGCCGCAAGGCAUCUGUGAAGGUGCUGCAUGGUUGUCGUCAGCUCGUGCCGUGAGGUGUCGGCUUAAGUGCCAUAACGAGCGCAACCCUUGUUGUCAGUUACUAACAGGUUCCGCUGAGGACUCUGACAAGACUGCCAUCGUAAGAUGUGAGGAAGGUGGGGAUGACGUCAAAUCAGCACGGCCCUUACGUCCGGGGCUACACACGUGUUACAAUGGGGGGUACAGAGGGCCGCUACCACGCGAGUGGAUGCCAAUCCCCAAAACCUCUCUCAGUUCGGACUGGAGUCUGCAACCCGACUCCACGAAGCUGGAUUCGCUAGUAAUCGCGCAUCAGCCACGGCGCGGUGAAUACGUUCCCGGGCCUUGCACACACCGCCCGUCAAG